rnacentral:rRNA from 1 species
AACGAACGCUGGCGGCAUGCCUAACACAUGCAAGUCGAACGAGACCUUCGGGUCUAGUGGCGCACGGGUGCGUAACGCGUGGGAAUCUGCCCUUGGGUCCGGAAUAACUCAGAGAAAUUUGAGCUAAUACCGGAUGAUGACGUAAGUCCAAAGAUUUAUCGCCCAGGGAUGAGCCCGCGUAGGAUUAGCUAGUUGGUGAGGUAAAGGCUCACCAAGGCGACGAUCCUUAGCNGGUCUGAGAGGAUGAUCAGCCACACUGGGACUGAGACACGGCCCAGACUCCUACGGGAGGCAGCAGUGGGGAAUAUUGGACAAUGGGCGAAAGCCUGAUCCAGCAAUGCCGCGUGAGUGAUGAAGGCCUUAGGGUUGUAAAGCUCUUUUACCCGGGAUGAUAAUGACAGUACCGGGAGAAUAA